rnacentral:rRNA from 1 species
CGUGCAGGAUGAAGGCCUUCGGGUUGUAAACUGCUUUUGUACGGAACGAAAAGCUUCGGGUUAAUACCCUGGAGCCAUGACGGUACCGUAAGAAUAAGCACCGGCUAACUACGUGCCAGCAGCCGCGGUAAUACGUAGGGUGCAAGCGUUAAUCGGAAUUACUGGGCGUAAAGCGUGCGCAGGCGGUUUUGUAAGACAGAGGUGAAAUCCCCGGGCUCAACCUGGGAACUGCCUUUGUGACUGCAAGGCUAGAGUACGGCAGAGGGGGAUGGAAUUCCGCGUGUAGCAGUGAAAUGCGUAGAUAUGCGGAGGAACACCGAUGGCGAAGGCAAUCCCCUGGGCCUGUACUGACGCUCAUGCA